rnacentral:rRNA from 1 species
GACGGGAGGAUGCAAGUGUUAUCCGGAAUCACUGGGCGUAAAGCGUCUGUAGGUCGUUUAAAAAGUCUACUGUUAAAAAUUGAAGCUUAACUUCAAAGGUGCCGUCGAAACUUUUAAACUUGAGUAUGGUAGGGGUAGAGGGAAUUUCCAGUGGAGCGGUGAAAUGCGUAGAUAUUGGAAAGACCACCAAUGGCGAAGGCACUCUACUGGGCCAUUACUGACACUGAGAGACGAAAGCUAGGGGAGCAAAUGGG